rnacentral:lncRNA from 1 species
UCGGCAACUGACUUGUUGGAACCUUCAUCAGAUGGUCCAACCACUGGAUCGGAUCCGGGUUCAUUCGGGUUAGCCUGCAAGGAUGGUGGUUCGGUAGAUGAUGGAGCCGUCGACUUGUCGGUUCCUGACUUGCAUUGCUUUUCAAACAUCAUCUGAAGAUAUCUGCCUUGUUCUUCUAUUCUCAGCUGUAGGUACCCCAUAAAUGGGUUAAUUUGGGCUUAUAACUUAUUAUAUAUUUUAUCUUGAAAUUUUAAUAUAAUCAUAGUUGCCCAACAAAAAAUCAUUAUAUCAAAUAUACCCAUUUUCACAUUUAUCACAAGCGCGCGCACACACACAUAUGAGAUGUAUAUAAUAAUUAUAUAUAUCAUUUGGUUAUUUUUAUGAUAACUAUGUAUGGAAAUAUUGAGCACUCAAUUACAUAUUGAUUAUAUAGAAUAAAAUUUAUUAUAUUAUACAAAUCAUAGACUCAUUUAUAUAAAAUAGAUUCAUAGUUAAUGAAAUAGGUAAAUAUGAAAUUUUAAGUGUUUUGAACGGGUAUAGUCGAUAUUAAUCUUUUCUGUUAGAUGAAUAUGGAAUUGCCCCAUAUUAAUAACUGUUAAAAUAAGUAAAACAAAAAACUGAGCAAAAAAGAAUACUUUUAGUCACUCGAGUUAUAAAAAUAUAUUUAAAAGUCACUCGAGUUAAGACUUAUAAGUGUUUAUAACCUCCUAAAUUGCUCUAUCUAAUAAUAACUCUCGAUCAUCAUUUUAAUAAAAGUUUUUGUAAUCAUAAGUAAGAUAUCCGUUAUUCAUGAAAUUAAAAAAAGGGCAGUAAAAUAAAAUGGAGUUUUCUAAAUAAGCAGGUUACACAAGAGUAAACCAUACCUCAAGUUGUUCAUGCAACCUCUUCUGAACUUCCAUUUGAAGUCGUAAUGCUUCGGUGAUCUCCAAACCCCUGUUAAAUGCAAAACUAAUAAUCAAGCACUGAACAUGCAUUAAGAAAAGUAAUUAGCUGAUAUUGAAUAAUCAGAAUAAAAAAUAAAAAAGAACAGUUGCAACAAAAUGCUUCGUAGAAACUAGAAGAUAGUGUUUGGAUGUGCUUCUUAUGAAAUUGUAAAAAUAAGAUGUUUGGAAAUUUUUUAAUUAUUUAAGAAUAUAAUCGAUAAAAUAGACGAAAAAAGACAUUUUUAUCGAUAGAAAAUACACUUUUUAUGAAAUGAACGUAAGUCUUAUGUUGAAAGAAAGGUAAAUAGGUGAUUUCAUUUUAAAUUUAAAACUGAUUUUAGUGACUUCAAAAGUUCAAAUAGUAAUAGUCAGAUAAUCAGUUGUAAAACACAAAUCCAAACACCCUUAAACUUCUUAUUUCAAUUAAUAAAACCCAAUAUGGGCAAUGAAAAUCUCUCGGAUGAAGCAAUGCUUAUAAAAUGCAAUAUAUUAUGCUAACAUUUUAAUAAAUUUAACUUACGUUUUCAACUCUAAAGAUGAGAAAUCUUCAACAGAAGUCGUUUUUUUCUCCAAAGGUCCUGCAAUAAUGAUCGACUAAUUAAUCGUAAACAAAUUUAUAUAAUCAUAUUCUUUUUCUUUAACAUAUAGCCAAAAGAUAGAUGAAAUAAAAUGCUAGGAAAUAUUAAUGGGUCUCACAAGGAUAAAAAACGAGGCAAGAUUUUGCUUACCUUCUGAUGACGGCUCGGGUCUAUAUCUAGCCGUCCGAUAUUUCUGCAAAAAAUAAAUAAAUAUAUUUUGCACCACAUG